CUUUGCUACCGCCAGGCUCCUGACCCCAGCUUGGACAGCAGGCCGCCGAGCGCCCCUGACGCCCGUUACCGAGAUGGCUGCGCAGAAGGGUAACCCAGAAUGACAUCUAUGCCUUUCAUCUGUAAAAUAACAACAACAGUGGGCUCUGGGAACACAGACUAAGACUCCUUAACCACAGCCAUAGGGGGUAGGGUGAGGAAGGCAUCCAGAAGGAGUGAGCCAGCAGACAGGAGAGGGUACAGGUAGGGACUACAUAAUGGAAGGGUUUAUAUCAGUGUGUCAGAGAAAGAAGAUUCAAGAAAGAGAUUGGUGAUUUACUGAAAUCCUCAUUGCUGGCUUCAUCCUUAUUCUGAAGAUCCUACGAUGCCUGGAGAAAUUCUAGGCCUCACAUCUGGAGUGGCUGUGGGGCUGUGAUCUCUCCUAGAACCUCAGAGGCAUGAAGCUAGAAUAUCUUCCCCUUCAAGGAGAAUAAGCCAAGGGUAUAUGAGACAAGGACCUGGGGAGUUGGCCUCUUUGGUUCAUUCUUUGUACUGUUUAUCUAUGGUUGUUGCGGCCUUUGUUGAUGACAUUCAGCAUUGACUUCUUGGGUAAGGUAUUCAGUAGUUAAGAUUCAAUGACUCCAGUGAAAGGUAUGUUUCCAUCGUGAUGUUCUUCUUCUGGACAAUAAGUGAAAAGAGCAUGUGAGUACCUCUCUCACUCCCAGCAAAUAAUUGUUGUGUCACCUCCACAUGUUUCUUCACGAUUCGAGGCUUUGAUUUCCCCUGCAAGACAAAAUGCAAUGAAGUGAUACAGAAAAAAAGAAAUUCUAUGCUGUCAUCACACUAGACCAUGAUGUUGAUUUAUGGAUGGUCUGCUUUCUUAUAUGCACUUAAUAUUUUUGUACAAGCAAACCUGAAAAGUGUCAAAAUCCCCUUUAACAGAUUAACAGGCUGAGAUGGGUUAAAGUGAGCAAGCCGGGAAGUGGUGGAGCUGGGAUCCACACCCUGGUCUGUCUGAGUCCAGAUGUAAUCAUCUUGCAUUCACUAUGGCAUGUUUCCCUUAUGUUAAGGGUUGCUGACAUAGACAGUGCAUGUCAUUCCUUUUGGUAUGGUCUUCCUCCUUUCUAGCUUUUUUCUGCCUGGAAGAUCCAGGCACCCAAGAGAAUGGAGCUUCCAUGUAAAUUUGCAGAAUCCCUAGGAUGAAAGCGGAGAGGAUCUACCCUGAAACCAACAAGUCUAGGAUGCACAUCUCUGCCUUUUUUUCAGAAUUAGGAAGGGGCAGGCAGAUGGGCAAUUGACAGGAAUAGUAGAAGCAUCCUCGGGGAAGUUGGCUACUUUACUUAGUGAGAAAGCAAUGGAAAGUGACAUUUGUAACUGAGUUUUAAGUGAAGUACAGUCCUAAGAGAGGAGCUCUGAAAAACAGCUGUUACCUGAGAUUGGGAAUGUUAAAGACCUUCUCAGAGCCUGACUGUACUCACAGCUGGACCUAGCUAUCAGAAGAGGGACUGCAACAUACCUGAGAAACUUUCAGAAUACUUAACGGAAGCAGAGUCAGGGGAAGUGAUUUUGAUAGUAGUCCAUGAGAAAAAAAUACGGUGUUUUAAAAUGCAAAUGAACUAAAAUUUAAAUCCUGCUCUCUCAGUAGCUAUGCAGCCUUAGGCGAGUUAAUAUCUUUGACCUUAGUAUUUCUCAGGUGUAAAGAGGGAUAAUUACCUACUCAGAACUUCACCUCUCCCAAGAAAGCUUUCCUGACCAUGUGCUGGCCCUUCCUUUACAUUGGGAUUAAAGUACCCCCCCCCGUUUUUCCAGGCUUUCUUGACUUUAAUUCUGUCAUAGCUCUAAUUAAGAACCUCUGUAAUGAUCUGUCUGCAAGCUUGUGAGAAAUUUGAGGACUGGGAACCAGCCUGAAACAUGUCUGUUCCCCUCUGAGUCAACACAGUGCCUGGGAUCUGGUGUCCAGUAGGGAUUUAAAGCAUAUUGAUUGAAUGAGAAAUGAUGACAGGAUCUACAUGGAUCACAAAGGAUAGUUGUUAUUUUACCUGUUAACUAUUUAAUAGCGAAAUUAAAUGAAAUAUGAAUUAACCUAGGACCAGGGAAGGUGGGGUAAGUUGUGUCUUUCACAUCAACCUUCAUAUGUUCCCCAAUUUUUUCUUCCUUCAUGUACCUAGGACACUCUUGUUCAAACACAAAGGUGGUUUUAUUUUGGGUCUAUACUAGCUAGUUCCCUAGAAAGGUCUUAAAUACAAAAUGAAUGGAAUACAAAAUAACCUCCCUCAUUGUUUUUUUUCCCGGACAAAUGACAGGAUGCAUACAGAACUGCUACUUUUGUGAUGUUGCAAGUAAUGGUAUAGAUGUGCACAAAUCAUGGAUGUGGUCCCAGUGAUCCAUGGAAAUGUGAAGUCCAGAGAUACCUUCCCAAGUGAAAGCAAUAAGCCUUAACCAAAGCUGUGACUUAACCAAGGAUUCACAAGGCAUCUCCAAACAUUUCUAGGAUACGUGUGCAGAACGUGCAGGUCCGUUACAU
rnacentral:lncRNA from 1 species